GGGAAGAUCAGAAAAUUAGAAACACGUGAACUUACAUGAACGUGUAACAGUGGUGAUUCUCCGAUCUCCCAUGUACAAGGGGUGAAAAUAACUAUUAAAACUUUUUUUAUCCAAAUUCGACAUGCAUGUAUUCAUUAGAAGCGUAACAAGUAUCUUC